rnacentral:lncRNA from 1 species
UUUAUUUAUAAUGUAUUUAUCAUUCAGCUAUAUAUAAAUAUUGUUGAAGCAUAAUUUGUUAAGUGUGAUUAUUUAUUAACUUUAAGUGAUUUUGUCAUCAUCAAAAUAUGAUGCUUUCAUGGCUCCAACAUGACUUGUUUGGCAUUGUGUACUAAGGUACUAUGUCAUAUUCUUUAAAAAGCAAUGCAAAUGGUCUUAACAUUUGUUUAGUUUCAAUAUAUCUAUCAUAAUAUUCACCACCUCUAUUUAGUUUUACUGCCUUUAUAAGUUUUUUUAAAAUCUUUGAACAUGUCAAAGACUUCAAAUUCUUCACGUAUGAAGCAAAGAUGC